GCGGAGGAAAAGAAACCAACAGGGAUUGCCUCAGUAACGGCGAGUGAAGCGGCAACAGCUCAAAUUUGAAAUCUGGCUCCUUCGGGGUCCGAGUUGUAAUUUGCAGAGGAUGCGUCGGGUACGGGUCCCUACCGAGUUCCCUGGAACGGGACGCCAUAGAGGGUGAGAGCCCCGUCUGGUAGGAUACCCAGCCCAUGUGACGCUCCCUCGACGAGUCGAGUAGUUUGGGAAUGCUGCUCUAACGGGAGGUAUACUCCUUCCAAAGCUAAAUACCGGCUGGAGACCGAUAGCGCACAAGUAGAGUGAUCGAAAGAUGAAAAGCACUUUGAAAAGAGAGUCAAACAGCACGUGAAAUUGUUAAAAGGGAAGCACUCGCUACCAGACUUGGGUUUGGCGGUUCAACCGGGGCCACGCCCCGGGGCAUUCCGCCAGCUCAGGCCAGCAUCAGCUUUCCGUCGGGGGCAAAGACGUCGGGAAUGUGGCUCCCCUUCGGGGGAGUGUUAUAGCCCGGCGUGUCAUACCCUUCGGGGGGCUGAGGUACGCGCUUCUGCAAGGAUGCUGGCGUAAUGGUAGCUAGUGACCCGUCUUGAAACACGGACCAAGGAGUCAACCUUAUGUGCGAGUGCCCGGGCGUAAAACCCCAGCGCGGAAUGAAAGUGAACGUAGGUGAGAGCUUCGGCGCAUCACCGACCGAUCCUGAUGUCCUCGGACGGAUUUGAGUGAGAGCAUAUAGGGUUGGACCCGAAAGAAGAUGAACUAUGCGUGUGUAGGGUGAAGCCAGAGGAAACUCUGGUGGAGGCUCGCAGCGGUUCUGACGUGCAAAUCGA
rnacentral:misc_RNA from 1 species